rnacentral:rRNA from 1 species
UACGUAGGGUCCGAGCGUUGUCCGGAAUUACUGGGCGUAAAGAGCUCGUAGGUGGUUUGUCGCGUUGUUCGUGAAAACUCACAGCUCAACUGUGGGCGUGCGGGCGAUACGGGCAGACUUGAGUACUGCAGGGGAGACUGGAAUUCCUGGUGUAGCGGUGGAAUGCGCAGAUAUCAGGAGGAACACCGGUGGCGAAGGCGGGUCUCUGGGCAGUAACUGACGCUGAGGCGCGAAAGCCAGGGGAGCAAACGGG